UACAGAGGGUGCGAGCGUUAAUCGGAAUUACUGGGCGUAAAGCGCGCGUAGGCGGCUUUGCAAGUCGAGUGUGAAAUCCCCAGGCUUAACCUGGGAACUGCAUUCGAGACUGCAUAGCUAGAGUAUGGGAGAGGGAAGUGGAAUUUCAGGUGUAGCGGUGAAAUGCGUAGAUAUCUGAAGGAACAUCAGUGGCGAAAGCGGCUAUCUGGACAGAGUCUGACGCUGAGACACGAAAGCGUGGGUAGCAAACAGG
rnacentral:rRNA from 1 species